GAGCACUUAAGAAACAGUCUGGCAACAAAGAAAAAGACAGCAGUCCCUGAGAGAAACAAAUAAGGUUUUGUCCAGCAUCCAAGAAGAAUCAGGUCACACAGACAUCAAGGAUGGUGAAUGCGGAGAUUUUACUGAGUGAUGAAGGUGGCUCUGAGCAAGACGGGGAGCUGGAAAGGGGAUGAUGAAGUGGACAAGAAUUCAAAUGCUGUUUCUUUGUGGAUGACAUGAACUGAUACCUAGAAAACCUUAAAGUCUCUGCUAAAAGGCUUCUGGAACCAAUAAACCUCAGUGAAGUUUCAGGAUACAAAAUGAAUGUACAAAAUCUAGUAGCAUUUCUAUACACCAAUAACACUCAAGGUGAGAGCAAAAUCAAGAAUGUAAUCACAUUUA